rnacentral:rRNA from 1 species
GACGAACGCUGGCGGCGUGCUUAACACAUGCAAGUCGAACGAUGAAGCGGUGCUUGCACCGUGGAUGAGUGGCGAACGGGUGAGUAAUGCGUGAGUGACCUGCCCCCUUCUUCGGGAUAAGCCUUGGAAACGGGGUCUAAUACCGGAUAUUCCCUUCCUUCUGCAUGGUUGGUUGGGGAAAGUUUUUUCGGUGGGGGAUGGGCUCGCGUCCUAUCAGCUUGUUGGUGGGGUGAUGGCCUACCAAGGCGUCGACGGGUAGCCGGCCUGAGAGGGUGACCGGCCACACUGGGACUGAGAUACGGCCCAGACUCCUACGGGAGGCAGCAGUGGGGGAUAUUGCACAAUGGGCGCAAGCCUGAUGCAGCGACGCCGCGUGAGGGAUGACGGCUUUCGGGUUGUAAACCUCUUUUACUAUUUGAACAAGGCGCCAUAUUGGUGGUGUUGAGGGUAGGUGGUGAAUAAGCGCCGGCUAACUACGUG